AUUGAACGCUGGCGGCAGGCUUAACACAUGCAAGUCGAGCGGGGUGAUGGUGCUUGCACUAUCACUUAGCGGCGGACGGGUGAGUAAUGCUUAGGAAUCUGCCUAUUAGUGGGGGACAACAUCUCGAAAGGGAUGCUAAUACCGCAUACGUCCUACGGGAGAAAGCAGGGGAUCACUUGUGACCUUGCGCUAAUAGAUGAGCCUCAGUCGGAUUAGCUAGUUGGUGGGGUAAAGGCCUACCAAGGCGAAGAUCUGUAGCGGGUCUGAGAGGAUGAUCCGCCACACUGGGACUGAGACACGGCCCAGACUCCUACGGGAGGCAGCAGUGGGGAAUAUUGGACAAUGGGGGGAACCCUGAUCCAGCCAUGCCGCGUGUGUGAAGAAGGCCUUAUGGUUGUAAAGCACUUUAAGCGAGGAGGAGGCUCUUUUGGUUAAUACCCAAGAUGAGUGGACGUUACUCGCAGAAUAAGCACCGGCUAACUCUGUGCCAGCCGCCGCGGUAA
rnacentral:rRNA from 1 species